CCUACGGGAGACAGCAGUGGGGAAUAUUGCACAAUGGGGGAAACCCUGAUGCAGCGACGCCGCGUGAGUGAAGAAGUAAUUCGGUAUGUAAAGCUCUAUCAGCAGGGAAGAAAAAGACGGUACCUGACUAAGAAGCCCCGGGCAACUACGUGCCAGCAGCCGCCGUAAUACGUGGGGGGCAGGCGUUAUCCGGAUUUACUGGGUGUAAAGGGAGCGUAGACGGCGGAACAAGUCAGAAGUGAAAACUCGGGGCUCAACCCUGGGAGUGCUUUUGAAACUGGAUGUCUGGAGUGCAGGUGAGGUAAGCGGAAUUACUAGUGUAGCGGUGAAAUGCGUAGAUAUUAGGAGGAACACCAGUAGCGAAGGCGGCUUACUGGACUGUAACUGACGUUGAGGCUCGAAAGCGUGGGGAGCAAACAGGAUUAGAUACCCGAGUAGUC
rnacentral:rRNA from 1 species